AAAUUUCAGAUUUUAAUACACCUCUUACCAGCUUGAGGCCUAUUCCUAUUUCCAGUUCAGAUUGUUGGCUCACUUAAGUUACCUUUGGAGGAGCUUUUGUCUUUAGAGCAGUAAAUUAACCUGCUUGUUUUUGUGUCAACAUCUAAAAAUGUUCACAUUUGUUUAAAUAGGUGAAGCUGAGCUCAGAGCUACAUGUACAGUUUAUCUUAUCAAGAUGGGUGGAAGUAAAGCAAUUUAAAGGAAAUUGAAGACCACAAAUCUUAAUGACUGAAAUACACUGUAUUGUUCACACCAAAGCAUAAGUGUUUGGAGAAAGACCUUUGCUGUUCAGCAAAAUCAUGAUGGAGGCAGAAGAACAGCAGUCAUGGAAGACAACCUUUUACUCAAAAUUACCUAAAGUGGUGAGAUUUCAACCGUAGAAUUCGAGAGUGUUGUUAAUUUUAAUGACUUCUCUUUUGUUUCUUUUCACAAAAGAAAAGUAAAUUGUGUAGGCAGAAUCUGUAAACUUGCUAAAAUUUGAAAGUUACAUAGCUUCAUCUAGUAGGCAGUUUGCCUUGUACAGACUGCAAACAUCAAGUACCUGAUAUGAUGUUCUAUGUCUAGUGAAUAUUUGAGAAGUUUUCGCUGAUUGUAUUCUCUUGUUUUAGGAACUUCAUGCUCACUUGAAUGGAUCCAUUAGUUCUAAUACCAUAAAGAAAUUAAUAACCAAGAAGCCAGGUCUUAAAAUCCAUGAUCAGAUGACUAUGAUUGACAAGGGAAAGAAAAGAACUUUAGAAGAAUGUUUCCAGAUGUUUCCAAUUAUUCAUCAACUUACUACCAGCCCUGAAGAUAUUCUAAUGGUGAGAAAGGAAGCAAUUUUUAGACUGCUUUAAAAAUUAAGUAAUUGAUACUCUUCUGUUGUUGUACUUGGCUUUUUGCUGUCAUCAAGAAUCUGAUGAAAAGUGUUUUCUGCUUUUUUUUAUGGCAACUCUUUUAAAAAACAGCCUAAGUCAUUUGCCUAAUGAGGCAGAAUAAUA
rnacentral:lncRNA from 1 species